GUGAUGUAUGCCCUGUCACCCUCCCUCAGGGUCUCUGCCAGGGGAGAGGACUAUUAACUUAAAGACUGGACUGCAUAGGUCUCUGCCAGGGGAAACUGUUCAAGGCUGAACUAAAACCUGGAAGUCCCAACCAGAUCACUGAAUUCCCCAGUUUACCAUUAAGACAAGACAUCUGAAAGAGAAUUCCACAGGAUCCAUUGUGGCAUCUGAUUCCAAAAUCUACUCAACAAUUUGCUAUGCUGAAAACAAAAGGGUACCGAGUGGAGAAAACAUUGGCUGUAAAUGCAGGAUAUUCACUGAAGAGGAACAAAUGUUAAGCAGUCUAUUUUGACUCAAAUUGAAGUACAGCAGACUUACAAUGUUUUUGACACUUGACAUGUUUAUUCUUUUAAAGAGAGCCAUAAUCACAUUUAACUGUUUUGUGAAUUUCACUUAACUGCUUUAUUUCAUUGACAACACUAACUUUUCAAGCACAGAAGA